rnacentral:lncRNA from 1 species
AGAUACAAAAGUUGGCUAAAGAGAGAUAUACUCUUGAAGAUGGGUCUUUUCCUCUCCCCCACAGGUGUCAUACUAACACAAUGGCCUUGCUAUAAAAGUUGAGUAAAGGGAACUGAUGUCCUAUAGUUACUCAUCAACAUAUCCAAUGUAAAAUAAAUAAGUUCAAAAAAAUUUCAAAGCUCUAAAAAAUGCAGUUGUACAAGGUUACAAAAUGUGCUUGUUUGCAGGAUCCUGAAAGCAAUUUCCUGAUCGCAAAACUCAAGCCUUCUGAUAACAUGGAUAGAUGGCAACAAAGCGUCUACAUUUUUAGCAGAUGGCCGCUGUACUCACCACACCACCACAGAUUUCCAUGAGUCACACGUAAGAAAACCAGUAAGUUACAAUGAUUUCAUUCACUUUAUCAUGCCCACAAAAACACUCUUGCUGUAUUGUUUUCAAAGGAAACUGCUUGGAAAAUAGAUGUUGCCUUAAACUCUAAAUUCAAGUGCAAAAUGUAAUAUUUUAUUACACCAUAAACGAAAUGUAGAUGUACAAAAAUAGAGAAGUAACAAAAAAGUAGAACCAAGAAAGUUCAUGUUCUGGUAACUACAGAUUGGCUCCUGAAUUAAGUUGUAUGGUGUCCCCAACAAGAUAAAUCCUAAUCCCCAGAACCGGCAAGAAUGACCUUAUAGUGAAAAGGGCCUCUACACGUGGAAGUUAAGGAUUUGGGGGUGAAGAGAUAAUCCUGUGUUAUCUGGGUGUGUCCGAAGUCUAAUCACAAUUGUCUGUAUCUGAGAUAGGAUUCGUCAGAGACGGAAGAGAAGGAAUGCCAUGACGACACAGGCAAUUAUGAGAGGCCUGAGGUCACCCAUCCAGGGAUAACACGAAGUGCCAGGAUCGCCGCUAAAAGCUGGAAGAGAUAAGGGCCAGGUAUUUAG